rfam:Dipodomys ordii contig_60816, whole genome shotgun sequence.
GGGAUUGUGGCUUAGUGGUAGAGUGCUUGCCUAGCAUGCAUGAAGCCCUGGGUUCCGUUCCUCAAUACCA